rnacentral:rRNA from 1 species
GACGAACGCUGGCGGCGUGCCUAAUACAUGCAAGUAGAACGCUGAAGAGAGGAGCUUACUCUUCUUGGAUGAGUUGCGAACGGGUGAGUAACGCGUAGGUAACCUGCCUCGUAGCGGGGGAUAACUAUUGGAAACGAUAGCUAAUACCGCAUAACAAUGGAUGACACAUGUCAUUUAUUUGAAAGGGGCAAUUGCUCCACUACAAGAUGGACCUGCGUUGUAUUAGCUAGUAGGUGAGGUAAUGGCUCACCUAGGCGACGAUACAUAGCCGACCUGAGAGGGUGAUCGGCCACACUGGGACUGAGACACGGCCCAGACUCCUACGGGAGGCAGCAGUAGGGAAUCUUCGGCAAUGGGGGCAACCCUGACCGAGCAACGCCGCGUGAGUGAAGAAGGUUUUCGGAUCGUAAAGCUCUGUUGUAAGUCAAGAACGGGUGUGAGAGUGGAAAGUUCACACUGUGACGGUAGCUUACCAGAAAGGGACGGCUAACUACGUG